AACGAACGCUGGCGGCAGGCCUAACACAUGCAAGUCGAACGCCGUAGCAAUACGGAGUGGCAGACGGGUGAGUAACACGUGGGAACAUACCCUUCGGUUCGGAAUAACUCAGGGAAACUUGAGCUAAUACCGGAUACGUCCGCGAGGAGAAAGAUUCAUCGCCGGAGGAUUGGCCCGCGUCUGAUUAGCUUGUUGGUGAGGUAACGGCUCACCAAGGCGACGAUCAGUAGCNGGUCUGAGAGGAUGAUCAGCCACAUUGGGACUGAGACACGGCCCAAACUCCUACGGGAGGCAGCAGUGGGGAAUAUUGGACAAUGGGCGCAAGCCUGAUCCAGCCAUGCCGCGUGAGUGAUGAAGGCCUAGGGUUGUAAAGCUCUUUUACCCGGGAAGAUAAUGACUGUACCGGGAGAAUAAGCCCCGGCUAACUUCGUGCCAGCAGCCGCGGUAAC
rnacentral:rRNA from 1 species